UCCGGUAAUGCGACCGAUCCCGGAGAAGCUGGCGGGUGCCCCGGGGAGAGUUCUCUUAUCUUUGUGAAGGGCAGGGCACCCUGAAAUGGUUUCACCCCAAGAGAGGGCCCCAAGCCCUGGAAAGCAUCGCGGUUUCGGCGGCGUCUGGUGAGCUCUCCCGGGCCCUUGAAAAACCGGGGGAGAG
rnacentral:ncRNA from 1 species